GGAACAGUGGCAGAGUGGUUUAAUGCAGUUGCCUACUAAGCAAUCAGUCGGUUUAAUACGGCUCAAAGGUUCAAAUCCUUUCUGUUCCG
rnacentral:tRNA from 1 species